GAUGAACGCUGGCGGCGUGCCUAAUACAUGCAAGUCGAGCGAACAGAUGAGGAGCUUGCUCCUCUGACGUUAGCGGCGGACGGGUGAGUAACACGUGGAUAACCUACCUAUAAGACUGGGAUAACUUCGGGAAACCGGAGCUAAUACCGGAUAAUAUAUUGAACCGCAUGGUUCAAUAGUGAAAGACGGUUUUGCUGUCACUUAUAGAUGGAUCCGCGCCGCAUUAGCUAGUUGGUAAGGUAACGGCUUGCCAAGGCAACGAUGCGUAGCCGACCUGAGAGGGUGAUCGGCCACACUGGAACUGAGACACGGUCCAGACUCCUACGGGAGGCAGCAGUAGGGAAUCUUCCGCAAAGGGCGAAAGCCUGACGGAGCAACGCCGCGUGAGUGAUGAAGGUCUUCGGAUCGUAAAACUCUGUUAUUAGGGAAGAACAAAUGUGUAAGUAACUAUGCACGUCUUGACGGUACCUAAUCAGAAAGCCACGGCUAACUACGUG
rnacentral:rRNA from 1 species